CUCGAGACGAGUCUCCACGCCCCGCCCACAGCACAACACAACAGAAGAACCCACCCUAAACAACAACAACACUGUCCUCCGGUAGAGAAAGAAGACGUUCAAGACACGGCCUCCCCUGACACUUUCUCUGGACACCAGAAGAGGCUUUACACGUGAGAAGAUGCAUUCAGGCAACCUUGAGAAAGUGGGUUCGCUGAGGAAACGGACGCUGUCUCGAGGAAUGAGCGAAGACGAGUCUCUAAGGCACAUUAUCAGAGACGCAGAAGAAUCGAGCAGACACCUGUCACGCAGCGAUAGCAGAUAUGGAUCAUUAAAAAGAGGACAAAGACAAGAAAGCCAUAGUGAAGAUGAUCUACUUUCUGAAAACAUAGAAAUGAUGGAGCUGAGAGCGAGCUACGAGGGUUGUCUGCAGGAGGUGCGGACCCUGGAGCUGCAGCAGGAGGCUCUUCUGUUCCAGGUGGACUGUCUUCAGGACACCCUCGAGGGCACAGAGGAGAUGCUCGCUGAGACCCAGAGAGACAAUCACAAUCUCACAAUGGAGCUGGAGCGAGAACGAGAGAUGAGGAGGAAGUCGGAGGACAUGCUUGCCUCAUUAAAGCGGGAGCUGGAGAGGUUAAGAGAGGAAAGAAGCAGCGAGCCGCUUCAGUCGAGGCCGGCGGGGCCCGUCUGGUUCCAGGCCACUCCGGAGGGGACGUCAGUGGACCGAGACGAACAGACGCUCGCACACAGCGAAGGCACCUCCGUGGAUCUGAACGUGAGCCAGCUGUUACAGCUGAAGAAAGCGGUCAGCCAGACACUGAGUCCAUCAGUGUUUCACAGUCAGAAGCCUGGUGCUCAGGGUGGAGAUGAUAACGACGAAAGCAGCGGCUAUGAAGACGCUCCGUCCGAGUUCUCGCCGAGUCCGUCCACUCCAGACACGCAGCCGGAUGGAGCUCUGCAGGACAGCGAGGCUGAAGAGGGAGGAGGUGGCAUGAGUGACUCCGAGUCCGGCCUCUCUAAAAGUUCCGAUUCUUGUGCUCUCUCUUAAAUUAUUCUAGUGUUGUAAAACGAUUAAUCGCGAUUAAUCGCAUCCAAAAUAAAAGUUUUUGUUUACAUAAUAUAUAUGUGUGUAUUGUGUAUAUAUAUAUAUAUAUAUAUAUUAUUUAUAUUCUAAUACACACAUAUGCAUGUAUUACAUGUAUUUACAUGUAUACAUUUAUAUUCAUAUCAUUUAUAUUAUAUAAAUA
rnacentral:lncRNA from 1 species